CCCAGCUGUAGGCAACUGCCUAGGUUGCCUUGUAUCUAGGUGUUACACUGCUGGGAGAAAAGCGUCCAGUAGCUGGUGGGUAUUCUGGGUCUGGUUAAUGCUAAAUU
ensembl:snoRNA SNORA74 Small nucleolar RNA SNORA74